AGACACAUGGAGCGGGAUCGGCCGGGCCGGAUGGGGGAGCGCUGGGUGUGAGGGGCAAGCCUUAACAUGAGCCCUGCCAGGGCUUCCUGCUCCCUACCUCCUCACCAUCAAUGGCAGAGCGCUUAUAGUGUGCACUGAUCCAGUGUGUGUGUGUGGGAGCCAGUGUGUGUCUGGGAGUCAGUGUGACCCAGUGUGUGUGUGGGAGUCAGUGUGAUCCAGUGUGUGGGAGUCAGUGUGACCCAGUGUGUGUGGGAGUCAGUGUGACCCAGUGUGUGUGGGAGCCAGUGUGACCCAGUGUGUGUGUGUGUGGGAGCCAGUGUGAUCCAGUGUGUGUGGGAGUCAGUGUGAUCCAGUGUGUGUGGGAGUCAGUGUGACCCAGUGUGUGUGGGAGUCAGUGUGACCCAGUGUGUGUGGGAGUCAGUGUGAUCCAAUGUGUCUGGGAGUCAGUGUGAUCCAGUGUGUGUGUAAGUCAGUGUGACCCAGUGUGUGGGAGUCAGUGUGACCCAGUGUGUGUGGGAGUCAGUGUGAUCCAGUGUGUGUGGGAGUCAGUGUGACCCAGUGUGUGGGAGUCAGUGUGAACCAGUGUGUGUGGGAGUCAGUGUGAUCCAGUGUGUGGGAGUCAGUGUGAUCCAGUGUGUGUGGGAGUCAGUGUGAUCCAGUGUGUGUGUGGGAGUCCGUGUGAUCCAGUGUGUGGGGGAGUCAGUGUGAUCCAGUGUGCAGUGACCCAGUGUGUGUGUGGGAGUCAGUGUGAUCCAGUGUGUGUGUGGGAGUCAGUGUGAUCCAGUGUGUGUGUGGGAGUCAGUGUGACCCAGUGUGUGUGGGAGUCAGUGUGAUCCAGUGUGUGUGGGAGUCAGUGUGAUCCAGUGUGUGUGUGAGUCAGUGUGACCCAGUGUGUGUGGGAGUCAGUGUGA